rnacentral:rRNA from 1 species
CUGCUGCCUUCCGUAGGAGUUUGGUCCGUGUCUCAGUACCAAUGUGGGGGGUUAACCUCUCAGUCCCCCUAUGUAUCGUCGCCUUGGUGAGCCGUUACCUCACCAACCAGCUAAUACAACGCAUGCCCAUCAUCAACCACCGGAGUUUUCAACCCCAUGCGAUGCCGCAUGAGAUAUUAUGGGGUAUUAGUACCAAUUUCUCAGUGUUAUCCCCCUGUUGAUGGUAGGUUGCAUACGCGUUACGCACCCGUGCCGG